rnacentral:rRNA from 1 species
UACAGAGGGUGCGAGCGUUUGUCCGGAAUCACUGGGCGUAAAGGGCGCGUAGGUGGUGGCUUAAGCGUGCGGUGAAAGCCCGAGGCUCAACUUCGGGUCGGCCACUGAUACUGCGGGGGCUCGAGUCGACUAGAGGCAGAUGGAAUUCCGGGUGUAGCGGUGGAAUGCGUAGAGAUCCGGAAGAACACCGGGUGGCGAAGGCGGUCUGCUGGGGGUCGAACUGACGCUGAGGGCGCGACAGCGUGGGGGAGCAAACAGG